AACUCUCAGCAAUAGAUAUCUUAGUUCUUACAAUGAUGAAGAAUGCAACAAAAUGCAAUACGUAAUGUAAAUUAUAAAAUUUUGUGAAUCAUCAAGUUUUUGAAUGCAAGUUGCACUCAAGGCUCAUCUGAUGGCAUUCAUGCCAGAGCAUCA
rnacentral:rRNA from 2 species